GAAUUGAACACUUUUUUGAGUUAAACAAUUAAGUUAUAGGAUUUCCUUUAUACUUGUAAAUUACCAUAAAGUCAAACCUAUAAUGGUAUAGUAUUAAUUUUUCUUUUCUUAGAAUAUGCUACUGUUUGGCAGAUUGUUAAAGCUUCGUGAUCACAUGAUGCAUUCUUAAGCACCCUGCCCCAGCCCCUGGGUUUUGUGGAAAGGGAAAGAAAAUGAAAGAGAGGCGAGAGAGAAGAAGAGAACCCGUGCCAGAAGUGGGAGAAGAUCAAAGUGGGAGGAAGAUUGUUUUGGCUUGGUUGUUUCAGUCAUUUUCUGGGUUUUCUGAUGGGAGAAGACGAAAGUGGAGAGGAAUAGCAGAAAAAUGAAAGAUGAAGGAGAGAGAACGCGGGUAGGGUUGUUUUUUGUUCUGUGUAGUGUCACUGUCUCAAACUACUAUAAAAAGGCGGGGGGAAGUAGGAAAGUGCCAGCAUAGAGUGUAGUGGAAGUGAAAGGAAAACUUCAUGCUUUUCUUAUGGAAGAUAAGAGCCAUUAUCAAUAUGAAUAUAUGAUGCAACUUUUGGAUAAGUUGGCUCAUGAAAUGAGAACUAUUGGAUACGUCCCAAAUACUGAAUUUGUGUUGCAUUCCCUUGAUGAGGAUGUCAAAGAAAAAAUGUUAUGUAAUCACCGUGAGAGGCUUGCUAUUGCUUUUGGUCUCUUAAACACAGGGCCUGGAACCAGAUUACUGAUCAUAAAGAAUCUUAGGGUGUGUGGGGAUUGCCAUGAAGCAACUAAGUUCAUUACAAAGAUUGUUAACAGAGAGAUUGUUGUUAGGGAUGUGAAGCGAUUUCAUCACUUUAAGAAUGGGAUCUGCCCACAUGGUGACUACUGGUGAAGCUGAUGUGCGUAGAUUUCCUUUCUCUUUGCUGGAUUUUUCACAGAGGAGGUGUUGAAAUAUCAGUAGAUGCAGAUUGUUGAAAGGAUUUAUCUCUGAUUGAAAUGCCAAAGAAAAAGACUUGCAGGAUUUUUUUUAUCCAAAUGUCUUCUUUCAUGCUUAGCAUCAACAAGACUGAUUUUCCUCUAACAGCUCCGUAGAUGGAUUCUCUGCUAUCAGUUGAAUAUCAUUAAUUGUGUUUAAGGCUGCCUUCGAUGACCUCCUCCAAACUUGGCAAAAGGUGGAAGCUUUGUACACUGACUACGACCUUUGUCUACGCACUUCUUUUUCAGUCUAUGAGCAUCCAGCUAUGACCUUUGUCUACCAAUGUCAUGUUGUUCCAUCCCGGUGAAUUGACAUGAUUCUCCUAGAUAAUAUGUGGGUCUUGUCCAAAUUGGUUGAAUCAAUACAGUUGCAUUGAAGCUUCAAUUGCUAGCUGUUGCCCAAGCUUGACAAUGUAGAAAUGAGGGCUUUGUCACUACAUGGCCUUUUUAUCAGAUAAUUGGGGUCUCGUUUGUCAAUUGAUGUUUGAUAAUAGAGAAAGAAAUAAGCAAAAUUGUAAUGGUGAAGCAAGACCAGUAGAGCUUGAAGCUGCAAUGCAAUAUUUCAAACUAAAAGAGAAUAUCAUUAAUCCCAUGCUUAAAGACAAGGGAAAAUUAUUUUUAGAAUAACCUCUCCUCUGCUUGCACUGCUACCUUCUUUAUUUUUUAACUCUUCAGUUCAAUGUUACUGGUGUGUCAUCCACCCUCUAGUUCUCUGCCUAAGAUUUAUUUUAAAUAGCUCAUUUAUUUCCUCUUUUCUUUGUGAUUUGACUUUCCCAUGGGUAACUUCAACGCAGAUUAGCACUGCUUCAUUUUCUUUCUCUUUCAAAUUUCUGUGGAUAAAUACUUAACAGUUGUCAAUCAAGUUUUCAAAGUUGCAUGCAUAUAUGAUAUUGUACCUAGUUGUCUUUUUUGGAUGAAUGAAAAUAUAUUAUUAAGAAAAGGCGCAAUGCAAAGCCACACAUAACAUACUUGUAUCAACAACAGAAUACUCGACACAAUAUAGAUAAAUUCAAAGAAGAACAAAACUCUCGUUGCAAAUCCUAGCUUGUCCUAAUUACAUCUUGACUCUUACUAGGACAUCAAAUACAAUCACACCAGCAUCAAGCAUAGACAUGACAGAUGUAGCGGGAAACACAACAGCCCUACAACAUACAACUCCCUGGCUUCACUUGGAGAACAGAUAAUGGAAUAUUAUUGCUAUUACACAGAAAUAUAAACAUGCUCGUGAAGAAUGUAGCUCUAAUAAUAUUGAAAGAUUCAUGCCAAGUUUGGGAAAUUUGAUUGGAAGUUUAAGCACACAAGAUGACUCUGAUUUUGAGAAAUACCUGUGAAAAUGGUAGCUUUGGCAAAUCCAGAAGGCUAAUACACUUUCUUCUCUGAAUUUUUUGUAAGUCACCAUCUUGCCUUCUUUCACAGAUCAUGGUGCACAUGACAAACUUGCCACUCAAAUGGAACAAGACAAACCUUGGCUGGCAUGAUCGAUUGCCAGAAUACAAGCUGGUCAUAUAUAUAUAUAUAUAUAUAUAUAUAUAUUAUUCAUUGGUUUUGGGAAGGAUUUAGGCAGUACAUGAGUAAGUUUGGUGAAUUGGAAAAUGUAAAUGGUGAUGAAGGUGAUGUUAACAAUUCCUGUAUAUGAUUUUGUCUAUUAUAGGUUUUUUUUGCUUGAGGAUACUAAAAUUUUUGGUUUCUAUGUUCACUAUUCUUCCUCUAUUAAUGCAAAAUCAUUAUUUUUUGCUAUUUAAUUCUCUCAUUUCUUCCUAGGUGACUUACUGUUUAUUAAAUUUUACCCUCCUAGCCUAAAAUCUUAAAUUUAGUAAGUUUUGGUAAAAUUCUUUCAUAGAAAUGAGAAUUAUAGAUUGAUGAUUUCCUAAGUUCCUACCUCCUUCACUAAGCUGGAAGCUAAUAUUUUAUAGCCAUUGGUUUGAUGAGCAAUUAUUGUCUGACCUCAGUUGUAGUGUCAGUUUCUAUCAUGCAUUAGAUGGUUUACUUUCGUUGUGUUUCCAGAUUUUCUGUAUAUUGGAUGGUGGGUUUCUGCCAUGGUAGGCAGAACAAGAUGUUCUAAUGGAUUUGGCUUUGUCGCAUUUAGCUCUUCAGAAGAUCUAUAGGUAUUGAGCUGCUUGACAAUUAAAUUUAAUCAGUGUAGGUUGAGCAAGUGGACAUUCUUUCAAAUUAAAUUAUCUAAUAUUCUUGCUGUCAAAAAAUUCUGAAAUAGCCAACCACCUCAAGAUGAUGUUAAAAGCUGUAAAACAAAUUAGGCAAUCUUUAGUUUUACAGCUUUGUGUUCCCAUUGUCUUGUGAUAUUAAUACAAACUGAUGUUAAAAGCCAAAAUACAUUUCAAUUGUAUACCAUAUGUAACAAAGCUUACCCAAUAUCAUCUUCUCGUAGCACAAUUACAGUCUGAAAUAGCCAACCAUUUGAUUUGCAGAAGAGUAAAGAACCUAUGACCUUUGUUUUGUACUAAAUUAUCUUCUUAUUAAUCUAAAUCAAUGCACAGGUGUUUAAAUUUGAUUGGACUGUUAUUUUGCUCCCAAGUUUUCUUUUUUCAUAUGUAACUUAUGUUAAUUGGCUAUAGAAAGGAAAAAAAAAGAAGGGAAACAAAUCUUAGGCAGCUGGUAGACAAAAGCUAACUUCUUUGAAAUUGAAAAUUAAUUGGUUGCUCUUCAAAUAAUUGUAAAUCAUGUUGCUUGGUUUUCGUAAUUGAGUUUUAAGAGUUAUAUCUACAUGUAUGAAGUAUUGCCUAAUUGUCUUCACUUCCACUAUGCUAAAUAUAUUGUGGGAAGCUUGAAUUUCUUUCAAAAUAUAGUAAUUUUGGUAGAACAACCAUAAUAACCCAUGUUAACUUAUAAAAUUCUCUAUCCAUCCUCUUGAUGCUGGCUCAUAGGUAUCAGUCAUGACCAAUAUGUUACAAAGAUCAAGAAGUUACCUCUUACCAGAGAACUUUCUCUAUUUAUCUUUUAAUAUUGUAAUAUAUAAGUCUGUGACAGAGAGUUUAUUCAAAAGGGAGUAUAAAAGAUACAAUGCUUAAGUAAAGUUAGCAUUGAGUGGACAUAAGAAACAAAGGAAAGUACAACUUAAAAUGAUAGUAACACAGCAUAAAAGACCAAAAAUAGUAUGAAGAUCAUGAAGUUCCAAUAUAGCAUCUCACAUCUCAGCAGUGAGUGCACUGCUCUUGGCCAGAAAGCCUGCCUGCUUUUUACAAUUGGUUAGACAUAUUGUAUAAGCUCAAGAGUAUAAGCUCGUAUGUUUCUAUGCUGAAUCCUGUCCUAAGUGAUGAUCAUCUACAUUGAUAUGUUUCUUUAUGUCAUGGUAAACUGGGUUAUCACAACAUAAUUCAUUGGUUGUUUAUUAUUAGAAAUUCCAAUAAAAGUAUCAAGAAAAACUUCAUUUUCUCCGUUCAACCUUUACCCAUAUCUUUUAAUGGCUUUUAUGGUAAAUAGAUAUUUUAUUUGUAUUUUUUUAUUUUGUAUUGUAUUAUACAGCUCUAGCAGUUUGGUUUGGAUGAUGAUAGUUAAUACUUAAUAUACUAAUAUGUAUUUACUCCAUGGGGUAUGUAGUUGGCUUUUGCCUUGCCAUUUUUUUUCCCAAGAUGAUUUUAUAGCUUCAUGGGAUAAUCUUUCUCAGGAAAUUUAUAAUAUUUUCAUGAGAAAGAGCUGUCUCUUAUUUACUUGCCUUUACAGAAUGUUAACUCACUGUUGUCAGCAGGAAGAAACGGUACUUCCAAGGGUUGUACCUAAGUUUUUGUUGCUUGAAUACCUCCAAGUGUCACGGAUGAUGAUAUUUGAAGGUAUCAAAUUAUGUCUUGAUCACAUUCACCACCUCUUGUUGUAGCAAUUAGCAAUAUCUAGCAAAUCCAAAUGCUUUAACAGCUGCAUGCAUCACUAUCUAAUGCUGUAGGAUUAUAAAAAUAAUUCAAAUUUGAUGGAUGGUUGAUGAUUGUUGUAGUUACUUUAUGAACUAAGCUCCAAUUUUAGAUGCUUACAUACUGAAGGUAUACAGUAUCCUCUUAACUGUAAUAGAGUUGAGUGUUUUUUGUAUUUUUGACAUUUUUCUUUCAGGUUUAGUAAUUUCUUACACUAAAUUAUAACAAGAAGCCGUUACUUGUAAUGUAAUUAGUUAACUUCUUUGAGUUUCUUGCUUGUGUAUUGCUCUACAUUGAACUGCCUUCUAUCUUUUUUUACAUUGAAAUGUUGAAUUUUAAAGUUGCUUGUAUUUCAAAAUCCAGUGGCAAAACAACACAUUAGAAUUGGAGUUGAAAUAUAUAAAAAUGCAGGCAGUGCAGCUAGAGUUUUAUGAAGUUUUUGUAUUUUAGUUUUACUCAGGAGAAUUCUAUUCUAGCUUUAUUCAGGUGAAUUUGUAGAACAUAGUGUUAAUUUAAU